AUGAGAGCAAGGACGACUCACCAUCUGAUUGUGGCAGAGGCACCCAAGUGGGCACUAGAUAGAACUGACAAAGGAUGUCGAGCAUUUUUUUGGGCCGGAUCGGAAGAGGUGCAUGGAGGCAGAUGCUUGGUAUCCUGGAACAGAGUGUGCCGACCUAAAGAGCAUGGAGGGCUUGGUGUCAUAGACCUAUGCAAGCAAGGGAUUGCCCUAAGGUUGAGGUGGGCCUGGCUAUGGAGAACUGAUGAGUCAAGGCCGUGGCAGGGGCUAAACUGGAGACUGGAUAAGCAAGUAUGUGUGGCGUUUGGCAGUCUGGUCAAGUGGGAACUUGGUGCCGGCACAAAGGUGCUUUUCUGA
rnacentral:rRNA from 1 species